GGAUCCUACGGGACGCAGCAGUAGGGAAUCUUCCACAAUGGACGAAAGUCUGAUGGAGCAACGCCGCGUGAGUGAAGAAGGGUUUCGGCUCGUAAAGCUCUGUUGGUAGUGAAGAAAGAUAGAGGUAGUAACUGGCCUUUAUUUGACGGUAAUUACUUAGAAAGUCACGGCUAACUACGUGCCAGCAGGCGCGGUAAUACGUAGGUGGCAAGCGUUGUCCGGAUUUAUUGGGGGUAAAGGGAGCGGAGGCGGCAAGGGAAGCCAGAAGUGAAAGCCCGGGG
rnacentral:rRNA from 1 species